rnacentral:rRNA from 1 species
UGGGGAAUAUUGGACAAUGGGCGGAAGCCUGAUCCAGCAACGCCGCGUGAGGGAUGACGGCCUUCGGGUUGUAAACCUCUUUCAGUACCGACGAAGCGAAAGUGACGGUAGGUACAGAAGAAGGACCGGCCAACUACGUGCCAGCAGCCGCGGUAAUACGUAGGGUCCGAGCGUUGUCCGGAAUUAUUGGGCGUAAAGGGCUCGUAGGCGGUUUGUCGCGUCGGGAGUGAAAACAGCGGGCUUAACUCGUUGCUUGCUUUCGAUACGGGCAGACUAGAGGUAUGCAGGGGAGAAUGGAAUUCCUGGUGUAGCGGUGAAAUGCGCAGAUAUCAGGAGGAACACCGGUGGCGAAGGCGGUUCUCUGGGCAUUACCUGACGCUGAGGAGCGAAAGUGUGGGGAGCGAACAGGAUUAGAUACCCUGGUAGUCCACACCGUAAACGUUGGGCGCUAGGUGUGGGGUCCUUUCCACGGAUUCCGUGCCGUA